rnacentral:rRNA from 1 species
ACCUGCGGAAGGAUCAUUGUCGUGACCCUUACAAAAACAGACUGUGAACAUGUCAUCCAUGCCGCCGGUUGAUGGGUCUUGUACCUGUCUCUCGGAAAAGGGUGCCAACCCUCUUUGUAGGAUAGGCACCCUUAAAGAACCCACGGCGCCGUUUGGCGUCAAGGAACACUGAUGCUGCUGCUGUGCAUGGGUGUGGACCGGCAUGCUGGUUCCACAUUCAUGCAGCGACUAUGCGAUAAUCCACAUGACUCUCGGCAACGGAUAUCUUGGCUCUCGCAUCGAUGAAGAACGUAGCAAAAUGCGAUACCUGGUGUGAAUUGCAGAAUCCCGUGAACCAUCGAGUUUUUGAACGCAAGUUGCGCCUGAGGCCUUCUGGUCGAGGGCACGUCUGCCUGGGUGUCACGCCAAAAGACACUCCCCUUCCAUCAUGUUGUGAAUGAGGAAGUGGUAUUUGGCUCCCCGUGCUUUCAUGUGCGGAGGGCCCAAGUUGGGGGUGCCUGUGGUGCCGAUCACAGCACAAGGUGGAUAGCGAAAGUUGUUGUUCUUAGUGCUAUGUAUUGGACCACAUUUUGGUAAUUCCCUUAUAAACCCUAUGCUCCAAAGCACAUAUCGCUUGGACCGCGACCCCAGGUCAGUCGGGACUACCCGCUGAAUUUAAGCAUAUCAAUAAGCGG